rnacentral:rRNA from 1 species
GACGAACGCUGGCGGCGUGCCUAAUACAUGCAAGUAGAACGCUGAAGAGAGGAGCUUGCUCUUCUUGGAUGAGUUGCGAACGGGUGAGUAACGCGUAGGUAACCUGCCUUGUAGCGGGGGAUAACUAUUGGAAACGAUAGCUAAUACCGCAUAACAAUGGAUGACACAUGUCAUUUAUUUGAAAGGGGCAAUUGCUCCACUACAAGAUGGACCUGCGUUGUAUUAGCUAGUAGGUGAGGUAACGGCCCACCUAGGCGACGAUACAUAGCCGACCUGAGAGGGUGAUCGGCCACACUGGGACUGAGACACGGCCCAGACUCCUACGGGAGGCAGCAGUAGGGAAUCUUCGGCAAUGGGGGCAACCCUGACCGAGCAACGCCGCGUGAGUGAAGAAGGUUUUCGGAUCGUAAAGCUCUGUUGUAAGUCAAGAACGAGUGUGAGAGUGGAAAGUUCACACUGUGACGGUAGCUUACCAGAAAGGGACGGCUAACUACGUGCCAGCAGCCGCGGUAAUACGUAGGUCCCGAGCGUUGUCCGGAUUUAUUGGGCGUAAAGCGAGCGCAGGCGGUUUGAUAAGUCUGAAGUUAAAGGCUGUGGCUCAACCAUAGUUCGCUUUGGAAACUGUCAAACUUGAGUGCAGAAGGGGAGAGUGGAAUUCCAUGUGUAGCGGUGAAAUGCGUAGAUAUAUGGAGGAACACCGGUGGCGAAAGCGGCUCUCUGGUCUGUAACUGACGCUGGGGCUCGAAAGCGUGGGGAGCGAACAGGAUUAGAUACCCUGGUAGUCCACGCCGUAAACGAUGAGUGCUAGGUGUUGGAUCCUUUCCGGGAUUCAGUGCCGCAGCUAACGCAUUAAGCACUCCGCCUGGGGAGUACGACCGCAAGGUUGAAACUCAAAGGAAUUGACGGGGGCCCGCACAAGCGGUGGAGCAUGUGGUUUAAUUCGAAGCAACGCGAAGAACCUUACCAGGUCUUGACAUCCCGAUGCUAUUUCUAGAGAUAGAAAGUUACUUCGGUACAUCGGUGACAGGUGGUGCAUGGUUGUCGUCAGCUCGUGUCGUGAGAUGUUGGGUUAAGUCCCGCAACGAGCGCAACCCCUAUUGUUAGUUGCCAUCAUUCAGUUGGGCACUCUAGCGAGACUGCCGGUAAUAAACCGGAGGAAGGUGGGGAUGACGUCAAAUCAUCAUGCCCCUUAUGACCUGGGCUACACACGUGCUACAAUGGUUGGUACAACGAGUUGCGAGUCGGUGACGGCAAGCUAAUCUCUUAAAGCCAAUCUCAGUUCGGAUUGUAGGCUGCAACUCGCCUACAUGAAGUCGGAAUCGCUAGUAAUCGCGGAUCAGCACGCCGCGGUGAAUACGUUCCCGGGCCU